CACACACACACACACACACAUAUUGUUUGCACUGUUUAUCGUUCUAGUUGAUAUUGUGUUUGUUCAAAUUUCACACUUUUACACUGCAUUGUGUUUGCCUGUGAAAUAACCGUGUUUUGGAGUGUUUUUUUUCUGAAGUGUUUACAGGCUGGUGACGAGAUGCCACAGAAGGGAAAACGAUCCCGCGCCCAAAAGCUGCGCUGGAGCAAGCCGGACCAGGCGACCCAGCCGGAGACGUCACCGCCAGCCCAGCCGUUCGGGACCCAGAGGGAUGGAGCCAGCCCCUCCCAGUCUCCUGCCCAGAAGAUGAAGAAGCUGUGGACCCCUCUGCCGAUCUCACCCUCCUUCUCCCCUUACCAGGCUGGAAGGGU